rnacentral:misc_RNA from 1 species
GAUGAAGAACGCAGCGAAAUGCGAUAAGUAAUGUGAAUUGCAGAAUUCAGUGAAUCAUCGAAUCUUUGAACGCACCUUGCGCCCUUUGGCUAUUCCGAAGGGCAUGCCUGUUUGAGUAUCAUGAACACCUCAACUCUCAUGGUUUGCCAUGAUGAGCUUGGACUCUGGGGGUCUUGCUGGCCUAUGGUCAGCUCCUCUCAAAUAAAUCAGCUUGCCAGUGUUUGGUGGCAUCACAGGUGUGAUAACUAUCUACGCUUGUGGUUUUCCAUCAGGUAACCUUCAGUGAUGGAGGUUCGCUGGAGCUCAUAAAUGUCCCUCCUCAGCGAGGACAGCUUUUUGAACGUUUGAUCUCAAAUCAGGUAGGGAUACCCGCUGAACUUAAGCAUAUCAAUAAGCGGAGGA